GUAUUGUGAAUGAAAGGUGAAAAGAAUUCCGGAAGGUAGGUGAAAUAGUGGUAAAAUAAUUAAUAGGAUGAAAUCUAAAGAAUUUAUUAUAUAAGUGGUUGUGGAAGCAAGAAUUGUUGAGUUUAAACUAACAUCGUUCAUUGUUAUUAAAGCCCGAAUACUACCGAUCUAACUAUCAUUAAGAUUUUUCUGCUGGUUGAGUAUACUAAAGAUUGAAAUGUGGAGGGGUGCACACCUGCCAUUCAAUUGAUAGUUGGUGGUUAAAUGUCAUACGAGGUGUGUUAAUAUCUGGGUGUGUUCGAAAGAUGUAAAGGUGUCGAAUAAAUGUGAUUUGCUGGCAUAAGAUUGUUGUGAAAUGAUUUUAAUUAAGAGGGAUUAACUAUAAAUAAGGUUCAAGUGCCUCCGGGUAUUAUUAUUAGUCAUUUGCAAUUAGGUUAAGAUGGGUAUUCGCUUAUGUUACAAAUGGGCAAAACCCGAAUUAGUAGUUAAAGUUGAAAAAUAUCUGUGUGUCUUAAAUGAAAUUAUCUAAUAGACUUGCUUUAAUAUCAGCUCAAAAGUUGGAUUAAUAGCAUCCAUCUUUUCAAAAGUGUGUAGUACCUUAUGAGCUUAAUUGUCUAUGUAUGUGUUUGGCAAGUAAAGAUAUUGCUGAAGCUCU
rnacentral:rRNA from 1 species